rnacentral:rRNA from 1 species
UACGUAGGGUGCAAGCGUUGUCCGGAAUUAUUGGGCGUAAAGAGCUCGUAGGCGGUUUGUCGCGUCUGCUGUGAAAGUUCGGGGCUCAACCCCGGAACUGCAGUGGGUACGGGCAGACUAGGGUGCGGUAGAGGAGACUGGGAUUCCUGGUGUAGCGGUGGAAUGCGCGGAUAUCAGGAGGAACACCAGUGGCGAAGGCGGGUCCCUGGGCCGCAACUGACGCUGAGGCGCGACAGCGUGGGGAGCGAACAGG